rnacentral:rRNA from 1 species
UACGUAGGAGGCGAGCGUUGUCCGGAGUUACUGGGCGUAAAGCGCACGCAGGCGGUCGGGCAAGUCUCAGGUGACAGUCGUCGGCUUAACUGACGAAGUGUCUGGGAAACUGCCGGACUUGAGGGCUUCAGAGGGACAUGGAAUUCCGGGUGUAGUGGUGAAAUGCGUAGAUAUCCGGAGGAACACCAAAGGCGAAGGCAAUGUCCUGGGAAGCAUCUGACGCUCAGGUGCGAAAGCUAGGGGAGCGAACGGG